AAAAAUCAAAUUUCCUAGACUUUUCAAAAUUUUCUUUUUAGACCUUUUUAAUCUAACAAUCUCCCACAAUUUGAAAAUUCAGGAAAGCGAAUAGAAAACCAUUUGGGCAAACCAGUGAAACGAAGUGCAUCAGCAAAGGGUACGCCAUGGGAGCAACCAUGUACAUCCGUGCACGUGGGAGCCACUGCCGUGGUCAUGGCGUGACAAGGCGCGGAGUGUCUUUGAUUGGCUCUUUUGUUUUCUCCGCAGAUGUUUUGUCCUACUCAUGGACGUGAAGACAGAGUCAUCUUGCACCUACCUUAUAAUUAAUGAGUUGGCAUGUGUCGACAUACAUUUAUUACGUUGCUCGCAUGCGCCUCUUGCCCCAACGACUAUCUACAUUUCCUUUAUAAAGACAUCUAAUCUCCUUUGCAAAAUCAUCCGAAAAAUCUAUCAUCUUUUGUUUUUCUCUAGGCUCUUUUUACAACUUUUGAGCAAAUCAAUUCAAGCUUUCUUGGGUUUGUGUGGUUGAGAUCGUGAGUGCACCUGAUCAAAGCCGAUCUUGAAGGAGAGCUAUUAUAUCCUGGGGAUAGAAUUGUUAGGACCCAAUGCAUUAGGGAUUAUCUUCUUAUGGGGGCAUAUCUAUCUUUAAGACAACGACUAUAGCGUGCCUCAACUCUCAAGAUUCUUCUGUUAUUAUUUCUGGUUUAUUAGUUUUAAGAUUUUUUUACUAUAUCUCUAUAUAUUAGAACCAACAAUUUAAAGAUAGAUUUCUCCUCAAAGUCUUGAUUAUUAUGGCAACGGUCUCUGCGAACUUUCGAGUCAAGAUCUUUGAUGGGAAGAAUUUUAAGAGAUGGCAGCAAAAAAUGGAGUUUAAUCUCACAACUCUCAAGCUGAUAUACGUAAUCAAGGAUCCUACCCCAUCCCUCGAGGCUAAUGAACCAGCAACAUCAUCCAUUGAAAAAUCUAGUUGGAAGAAUGAUGACUGUCUGUGAUAGAACUACAUUUUUAAUGCUAUGACUAAUGACAAUUAUGAUAUCUAUUGUCAUUUCUCUAUAGCCAAGGAGUUGUGGGAACAUCUCGAAAAGAAAUUCAAAAUAGAGGAUGCUGGAAUAAAGAAGUAUGUAGUAAGUCGCUGUAUUGAUUUUAAGAUGCCUGAUGAUAAGUCUAUAAUAGAUCAGGUGCUUGAUUUAUAGGAAAUAGCCCAUGAAGUCUCUUUUGAAGGUAUGGUGAUUGAUGAGACUUUCCAAUUUGCUGUUAUGAUCAAAAAACUUCCUCCAUCUUGGAAGGAAUAUAAAAAUUCUCUAAAGCAUAAGAGAAAGGAUAUGAGCUUGGAUGACCCCAUCCUUCGCAUACGGAUCGAAGAAGAGGCAAGGAACCAUGAUAAACAUUCUCUGGAAUUAGAAUCUGUGACUAAGGCCCACCUUGUCGAGAAUAACCAAAAAAGUCAAAAGAACCGAGGGUCUAGACCACCAAAGAAAAAGCACCCAUGUGGCCAAAGAAACAAGAAAAUUGAUUUAUUAAAUUUUUUUA